rnacentral:lncRNA from 1 species
ACUACAGCGAGGGGACAUUGCCCUAUUCUUAUAAUCUAUGCGUUGCUUCACAUUCUACGACUAUGGCAGGGUUUAAUUUUCACCACGUGGCACCAGCGCUUGCUCCCCCUCGGGACCUCCUGUGCGAUGAUCCUUCUGUGGUUGUAUGUGGCAAUAAUGAAGAGCCCCAAAUCUUGGACGACUCUUCUUUUCAGGUAAGUUUCUACAGAGCAACUUAAAUACUAUUUGCUGUAUUAGCUUCUCGAUCGUGCACAAAUUUGGCAAUUUUGGUCAUUUUUUCAUAGUUUGGGGGAUAUUUCGUGGAGAAUUGCUGUGGAUGCAUAAAGCUUGGCUCUUGAUUACUCAGUCAUCUUGGAAAUUCCUGAUUGCCAGUUUCAGUCUUUACUGUUGGUGUUUCUGUGUGUCUAGCAAAUCUUGCCGGAGACUACUUCCUGUAAAUCAGCACUCAAUAAUAUCAGUGUCCUUUCUAAUUUGAUUCGUGAAACUGCAUUUUAAAAUGAUCUUUAACACUUUAUAAGCAUAUUGAUUUAUUUAUGCCUAAAUUAAAAUUUAUGGUCAAUUACCUUUUUUACUUGAACAA